GAUGAACGCUGGCGGCGUGCCUAAUACAUGCAAGUCGAGCGAACAGACGAGGAGCUUGCUCCUUUGACGUUAGCGGCGGACGGGUGAGUAACACGUAGGUAACCUACCUAUAAGACUGGGAUAACUUCGGGAAACCGGAGCUAAUACCGGAUAAUACUUCGAACCGCAUGGUUCGAUAGUGAAAGAUGGCUUUGCUAUCACUUAUAGAUGGACCUGCGCCGUAUUAGCUAGUUGGUAAGGUAACGGCUUACCAAGGCAACGAUACGUAGCCGACCUGAGAGGGUGAUCGGCCACACUGGAACUGAGACACGGUCCAGACUCCUACGGGAGGCAGCAGUAGGGAAUCUUCCGCAAUGGGCGAAAGCCUGACGGAGCAACGCCGCGUGAGUGAUGAAGGUCUUCGGAUCGUAAAACUCUGUUAUUAGGGAAGAACAAACGUGUAAGUAACUGUGCACGUCUUGACGGUACCUAAUCAGAAAGCCACGGCUAACUACGUG
rnacentral:rRNA from 1 species